UUACGGCUCCAUUGUUUGCCGCGCAUAUCGCGGUGUUUAUCUUUCCGCGGCAGCCGCGCCGCUCCUCGCUCUGCAAAUCCUCACUCGUCACGCCCACGCGCUCCACUCCCUCACCUGUCUCUACCUCUGCGCGCCACGGUUACAGUUACCAUGGCGACACAACAGCGGUCAGCUUCUUGAAGUGGAGAGCGAAGGUCUCGGCCACGAUCAGAGGAAACACCAAAGAGGCAUCUGCGUACACCUGACGAGCCACACAAGAGAGAUGUGAUGAGAAUCUAAAAACCCAUUCAAGGGUCUUCCAGAGACUGAUUACUGAGGGGAAAUGGCACCAUCUUGUGGCCAAAACAGGAAUUACAGUGAGGUUUGGCAUCCGCUCUGAUCUUGCCCCAUGAUAUGGCUUCAUCAGGUCGAGCCCCAGAGUCAGAGCCGUCAAACUCCUGGCCGGUGUUCACGUACACCGCAAAGUCUGCUCCAUUCCUCUAGAGUGGAUCCACAAAGAGAGAAUUCAUUUAGCUUCAUUAAAGUAGAUCUGGAUAAGAAAACUA